UUUUAUGAGUUUUCAUUGAUCUUACCAUAUAUUCUAAUACUGUAAUCCAUCAUUAGAUUUCAUGGAUGCCCAUUUAUUUGGGGAUUUCUGCCAGCUAUAACUCUUUGCAACUCAAUAUACAUUUAAAAUUUUACUUGAUAAUGAAAUUCAUCACCAAAGAUCAAACUUCUUAUGACACCAAAAUAAUGUGACCUAGAAUAAAGAAGUCAUUGCUUCAGAGCAGGCAAGAAGAUAUAGAAAUCCACACACUUUAGGCCUUGGAUGCCAUGUAGUGCCUAUUCUUUCAUAUCAUGUAGAUAGGACUAGAAAGAGGAUAAUAUGAGAACUUCUUGGUUUACAGAAGGAUGCAAAGAUGGACCAAGACCCCCUUUUUACUAGGACUAGUUUUGGGCAUACGCAGUGCAGGCUAAAUGAAAACUAAAAAUAGAAUGUUAUAAAUACUCAAAAAACAAACAGCAGAACAAAUGCAAGAAUUAAAUGCCCACUUGGGCUACCUGCUCAUUGUUAGGAUGAAUGACACCAUCAUCCAAGUCAUUUCUUUUCUCUCU
rnacentral:lncRNA from 1 species